CUCCAUAGUUUAUUUUUAUCCUUGAGUUGGGAACGACAACCCCUUCUUCUACACAACUGAUGGAUGUUUUCUGAGCGCCCAUAUCGACAACACAAGCAGCAGACAUUCCAGCACCAAAUGAAGUGCACAGCGAUUCUUGGACUAUGGCAGCCUUUCCAAAAUGCAAAUCAAAAAAUAAAAUGUCUAAUAUUUUCUCCACGUACACUCUAUCGUAGAGGUCUGGGACAAUGAAAAUCACAGAAUACUGUGAGAGUUGGGAUACAGGGAUUUGCAAAAGAGAGGUAAUGCU